rnacentral:rRNA from 1 species
GUACGGGGGGGCAAGCGUUGUUCGGAGUUACUGGGCGUAAAGGGUGGGCAGGCGGCCGUGUCAGAUGGGUGUGAAAUCUCCCGGCUCAACCGGGAGGGCCACUCGUGACUGCACGGCUGGAGGGCAGCAGAGGCGCGUGGAAUUCCGGGUGGAGUGGUGAAAUGCGUAGAGAUCCGGAGGGAACACCAGAGGCGAAGGCGGCGCGCUGGGCUGCACCUGACGCUGAACCACGAAAGCCAGGGUAGCGAACGGG